GACGAACGCUGGCGGCGUGCUUAACACAUGCAAGUCGAGCGGUAAGGCCCUUUCGGGGGUACACGAGCGGCGAACGGGUGAGUAACACGUGGGUGACCUGCCCUCAGCUCUGGGAUAAGCCCGGGAAACUGGGUCUAAUACCGGAUAUGACUCCAUGACGCAUGUUGUGGGGUGGAAAGCCUUGUGCGGCUGAGGAUGGGCCCGCGGCCUAUCAGCUUGUUGGUGGGGUGAUGGCCUACCAAGGCGACGACGGGUAGCCGGCCUGAGAGGGCGACCGGCCACACUGGGACUGAGACACGGCCCAGACUCCUACGGGAGGCAGCAGUGGGGAAUCUUGCGCAAUGGGCGAAAGCCUGACGCAGCGACGCCGCGUGAGGGAUGAC
rnacentral:rRNA from 1 species